rnacentral:rRNA from 1 species
UACAGAGGUCCCAAGCGUUGUUCGGAUUCACUGGGCGUAAAGGGUGCGUAGGUGGCUUGGAAAGUUUGAUGUGAAAGCUCAGGGCUUAACCCUGAAAUGGCAUUGAAUACUAUCGAGCUGGAGGUUUGGAGGGGGGACUGGAAUUCUUGGUGUAGCAGUGAAAUGCGCAGAUAUCAAGAGGAACACCAGUGGCGAAGGCGAGUCCCUGGACAACACCUGACACUGAGACACGAAAGCCGGGGGAGCAAACAGG